AGGCCCCAGCGACGAAGUUCCGAUACCCGGCUCGAGUCCAGGGAACCCGACCGCGAAAGUGACUGAUGUAUAACUGACGCUGAACCAUUUAAAAUACGCUCAAACGCAUAGAAUGGAGUCCGAUGCCGCAAGGAAGCCAAUGUUGAGGCCGAUAUUAUCGCACAGGCAGGCGCUGUUCCAAUUGAUUCAUCAGAUACAUAAAUAGCUCCAAAUUAAGCACUUAUAAAUCUUUCAGAAGCCUCGUAGGCGUGUAAGCUGCGAGCGCGAUCAUCUGUCCUUAAUACAGCCGUGCUGGCAGCCCCAUAUAGUGAUACCAAUGAAGCUUAGACUCCGUAAUCAAAAUAUUUGCAAAACGUGCAGGGUGAACGGUUUCGCCGCAAGGUCGAACUUCCUGCCUCGGUUUCGGCCUCGGCGACGAUCGAGACUGUUAAACCCAGGUGAUUCCACCAACAAAGCAUGUUAAGUGAGCGGUUUUGCGCAGCUUAGGACCGGUCCGGGAGGUUGUGCACGCGCAAGCAUCCACAAUUCCUGAACCCGCUCCGCAGCGGCCCGGCAUUGUCCCUGAACCCGCUCCGCUGCUGCCCAGCGUUGUCUUUGGACGCAGAUCUGUCGUGUUUCUGCUUCUUGCACCUGGGUUGGUGGCGCAGAACCCCGGGCGGUCCUGGACUGGUGCUCUCGUGUGUGGCCUUAGCAUGUGCCGGCUGUCUUGUGUGGCGACGGCCGUGCGACGGCUCAUGCCGUGCUGCCGUGCCAUGCCUCGGCUGUUCAGACUUGGCCUAUGCCACACACUCUGGGUAGCAUCGUGCUGCCUGCAGUGUAAAUCUGUUCGGCUGUGUUCUGCGGUCCCGCCCAUUUCGCGACUCUGGCUCUUGCCCUUAACGUCUACUUCAUUCCCAGCCCUUCUUCACCUCAGCUCAACAUCCCUGCCUGCAUAUGCGAG
rnacentral:lncRNA from 1 species